AGAGAACCCCUCCAUGGGCUCU
rnacentral:snRNA from 1 species